rnacentral:rRNA from 1 species
UACGUAGGGGCCAAGCGUUGUCCGGAUUUAUUGGGCGUAAAGAGCUCGUAGGCGGUUGGGUAAGUCGGGUGUGAAAACUCCAGGCUCAACUUGGAGAUGCCACCCGAUACUGCUCUGACUUGAGUUCGGUAGGGGAGUGGGGAAUUCCUGGUGUAGCGGUGAAAUGCGCAGAUAUCAGGAGGAACACCGGUGGCGAAGGCGCCACCCUGGGCCGAAACUGACGCUGAGGAGCGAAAGCGUGGGUAGCAAACAGG